rnacentral:rRNA from 1 species
ACGGGUGAGUAACACGUGGAUCAUCUGCCCUUUUGUGGGGAAUACCGCUGGGAAACCGGCGACAAUACCGCAUAAUCCCGAGAGGGGAAAGCAGCAAUGCGCAGAAGGAGGAGUCCGCGGUCGAUUAGCUAGUUGGUAGGGUAAUGGCCUACCAAGGCUGUGAUCGAUAGCCGGCCUGAGAGGGCACACGGCCACACUGGCACUGAAACACGGGCCAGACUCCUACGGGAGGCAGCAGUGGGGAAUCUUGCACAAUGGGGGAAACCCUGAUGCAGCGACGCCGCGUGAGCGAUGAAGCCCUUCGGGGUGUAAAGCUCUUUCGGCAGGGAAGAUUAUGACGGUACCUGCAGAAGCAGCUGCGGCUAACUACGUGCCAGCAGCCGCGG